CAGUCGCCGCGGGAAAACGAAGGGUGCAAGCGUUACUCGGAAUUACUGGGCGUAAAGCGUGCGUAGGUGGUGGUUUAAGUCCGUUGUGAAAGCCCUGGGCUCAACCUGGGAAUUGCAGUGGAUACUGGGUCACUAGAGUGUGGUAGAGGAUAGUGGAAUUUCCGGUGUAGCAGUGAAAUGCGUAGAGAUCGGAAGGAACAUCUGUGGCGAAGGCGACUAUCUGGGCCAACACUGACACUGAGGCACGAAAGCGUGGGGAGCAAACAGGAUUAGAUACCCCUGUAGUCCCUGUCUCUUAUAC
rnacentral:rRNA from 1 species